UGUUUUUACACCGAUUUCUUCAGUUUAUCAGUAUUUUUAACGAACGUACAACUCCGUGGCUUGUACCCAAACCACGGUUUAGAACCUGUGUCACGAUUCCUAAAGACUUAGAAUGGCGUAUGGACUAGCUUGAAACGGUCCUUUGAGCCAUAUAUGCACCAAACCAAACCUACUCUGUGUUUGUUCGCAAAUAUCUAUUCGUAUUUGCCUCAAGUCAGAAAAAACAUCACGUUCCGCUACAAAGUUAAUUUUUUAACACCUUUAAUUUUUGAUACUGUGAAUACUUUCUAUAUAAACAGCAACAUUUAUCAAUAUUAUUUGCAUGUGCUCGUAAACGCACAAUGCGCGAUGAAAGCAUGAUAUGCAUAAUAUUACUUGCAUCAUAAUAUUGAUAUGUAGCAUUUAUUUUACGUGCGUAAUUUAUGAAGCAUUAAGAUUUCUGAAAGCUUACACUGCCGGAGCAUCUGCGAUUGACGUAUCAAAAAAUCGUGCAAUUACGCUAAACACUGAUUUGAUCAAUAAAAGUCAUGAAAGAAAUAAUUAUUCAGAAAUUUAUUCGCGAUUCUGUUACCGUUCCAUUCGGCAAUUUGCGGCAAAGAAAUUCACGGAGUAUUGUUAAGUUUUAUCGUAGAUAGACGUAAUCGAGAAUUCAAUGGCGCAACAAUAUAAAAAUUGCAAAAAUAAGGGAAAAUUAUUUUUUCGCGCGAGUGAGAAAACUCAUUGGCGAAAGUUGCUCAGUUGCAAGCGCAAUUUUCGUGAGCGUGCUACCGCAAAACUUCGCAUAUCUAACCGGCUGCAUCAAGCGAUUAUUGCGGCGAGAAGAUCGGAAUUGCGGAAGAUGAGACGCGAUGUUGCUAGAACGAAUGACGAGUCGAAUUAUGACGAAGAAAUAGAUUUAAGUGCAUGGGAUAAUUGGAGCAAUUGGAGUCCAUGUAGUGUUACCUGCGGACAAGGACGACAAGUUCGCUGGCGUCAUUGCUUGGCGACACAUUGUGUUCUAGGUCUGAAAAAAGCACAAUUAAGAAGCUGUCGCUUGAAAAAAUGCCAAGGUUUAUUGGGUUGGCUCGGUAUCAAAUCGUGAUCUCUAGUAUGCAGCUGCAGUUAGUUUUUUCCAAAUAUGUUUUGAUAUAUAAAAAACAAGUUUGAAUAUUAUGUACAUAAAAAACAUGUAUUAAUUUUACUUUAGACAAUAAAUUGACUUUUAAUAUA